AUCGAUCCAAAGCCUUUCUCCAAUUUGAGUGUGUCAGAGUUCCCUAAGAGCCUCAAUGGGACUCUGGGCAGUUCUCACACCCAAAUUGCAUAACUAGAAUUGGGACAAGUGCAGUGCGGAAGGGCCAGCUUCAAGGGUCCAAGUUCAAAGGGAGCUCAAUGGAUCCCAAGGAAAAGCUCACAAGAGGGGUGCAGAACUUAAGUCUAAGACAGAGUGCAAGUGAGAAAUAGAGUUCUGAGGGAAUAAAUAAGAGGGAAACAGCCACAAACAAGUUGAUAAUCUCAUACAAAAGGGGUCCAGGG
rnacentral:lncRNA from 1 species